AUUGAACGCUGGCGGCAGGCUUAACACAUGCAAGUCGAGCGGAGCGAGGGUGCUUGCACCUUAGCUUAGCGGCGGACGGGUGAGUAAUGCUUAGGAAUCUGCCUAUUAGUGGGGGACAACAUUCCGAAAGGGAUGCUAAUACCGCAUACGCCCUACGGGGGAAAGCAGGGGAUCUUCGGACCUUGCGCUAAUAGAUGAGCCUAGGUCGGAUUAGCUAGUUGGUGGGGUAAAGGCCUACAAAGGCGACGAUCCGUAGCGGGUCUGAGAGGAUGAUCCGCCACACUGGGACUGAGACACGGCCCAGACUCCUACGGGAGGCAGCAGUGGGGAAUAUUGGACAAUGGGGGGAACCCUGAUCCAGCCAUGCCGCGUGUGUGAAGAAGGCCUUUUGGUUGUAAAGCACUUUAAGCGAGGAGGAGGCGCUCUAGGAUAAUACCCUAGAUGCGUGGACGUUACUCGCAGAAUAAGCACCGGCUAACUCUGUGCCAGCCGCCGCCGUAAAAC
rnacentral:rRNA from 1 species